UGAAGGAGAGGAGAGGAAGGGUCCGUGAAACGAAGCUCGGCAGUGAGGGUGUUGUGGGUACAUCAUCGGUUUGUGAAAUAGAGUUGAUCACCAAGCAUCAAAUAAUUAAAAGAUGGCUUGGGAUCUAAGAAAUGGAAAGCAAUACUGGUGGAAUGGUCGUCGGUCAACAGGGAUUGCAAGUUGUGAGAAUAUGGUUGUAGGCGAGAAUUGUCGACCGGUGGCUAAGAGGUUGUCGAUCGUUUCUGCCUGGCAGAACCUCCAAUGAUCGUGCACUAUAUAUUGGAGUAGAGAUGGUGGAGCCUCCACUUAUGUGAUCAGAAGCUUGGAGAAGAAAAAAAAAAAAGAGGGUUUCCAGAGAGCCUCAACGGUCAAUUCCUCGCUCUCUUCUCUUCUUGCUUCUUGAUUCCUCUUCAUUCUCCAUGGAUGUUAAAGCUAGAGGUUUGUUCUGGCUCCAUUCCUCUUGAGCUUUCUUCUCCCAUCUAGUGUCUUUGUUAUUGGACAGAAGUUCCAAGCUUAAGAAUCACUUCAAGCUUUGGGUCACCUUCACCAAAACGUCCCUAGCCAUACUCUGGUGAAGGGUUCAAUGGCAGCUUGGGCGUGGACGGACUAAAACCUCAACAUUUGAAGGGGUGAGCUAGUCACCCGGUUUGCAGGUGCUUGGGAGCAAGUUUGUGGGCAACCGGCAGCAUCAAAGCUUCUUCAGAGGAUUCAUGAUAAAGCUUCAAGGGUGUGAAAUGGGCAAAGAAGCAAGCUUUCAACUACUUGAAGUUGGAGAUCGAGCAAUGCAGAAGGUUUGAGUACUAUGUCCUCGCGUGCCCUUUCAAGGUGACUAAGAAAGCCCUACACCACAUGGUAUUAGUUGUAGCUUAAACAUGUGAGAGGAGAAGAGCUCCACAUAGUUCGUUGAGUUAUUGGUUCCAUUAUAGAGUUUGAUGGUUGAGUUGCGAAACCUUUUCUGGGGAACUUUGGCCAUGAUAGUUUGGCUUAAAGAUUGGCUCAGGGCUCUGCUCGUUUCCUUUAUAGUUCCACACUCUCUUUUUCCAUGAGGCAAAGCCAUUUUUCCUGUAAAGUCUCAUCUUCUCAAGUAAGGAACAAGCUAAAAGCCUCAUUUUCUUCUAAGUGGCAUAGCUCCCAUUCAUUAUGGCAAGAAUGGUCUUUCCUCCAUUCUAUUAUGACUAGCGAUUAAUUGUCCUACCUAGAUUGUUCGUGCUGGUAGUGGUACUCACCCUAUUGUUGGAUGAAUCUCAUCAACAACUCGAUGAGGCAUUGCACUUGGCCCUCCAACUGUCUAAGUUAAUUUGGAGGUGGAAGCGGGUUUUCAAGGUUGUUUUGAUUUCAGUUCAAGUUACCUUAAGCCUGGCUCAAAUUACCCUGAGUUUGGCUCGGAUUGUUCCCACCUUGCUGACUGUGAGUAAGAUGGCAUCUUAGAGCCAUGAUAAUGGGUAACUCGAAUGAUUUAGAGGCUUGGCUAUGUUAAAUGAGGUAGAGAUAAGCAAUUAGCCCCACAAUGGACUCCAAAUGAUAAUAGUGUUGGGACCAAUCGCCUAAGUUUUUCUCAACAUGAGCACCUGCAAGAGAAAGCGGGGUUGGAUUCCCCAAUUUAGACUCUGAUGCUCAUAAAUGUAUAAGUGUUAGCAAGUAUGUAGUGACCUAGAUGAAUCAAAUGACCUUACUAAGGGGAAGUCUUGGUCCUUAUAUAGGCAAGACAGAUAGGAUACCUAAUUUUAAUCUCCAAAAUUCUCAAGCUCAAGAGUCAUGUGCUGACGAAGGAUUCACCAAAUUAGAUUAAGAUAACAAAAAAUUUAUCAAAUCUAUUUCAGGUCCUUUGAAAUUGAGGUUUAGAAAUCCGAAUUUGUUGACUUAUCCCUUAGCUUUAGGUUGGACAAAGGAAUACAAGUCCUUGUCUUAUAACUUAGCAAUAAGGACACGUACGUGGCAAUUAAUGAUUUGUCGUCUUUUAAUAGUAGUUUAGUAAUCUCACACUAUUAAUCAUUAGUUUUUAAUAUAUUUAUUUAUAUUUAGUUUAUAUAUAUAUAUGCAUUAGUUUUUAGUUUAUAUAUAUCUAGAAAAAUAUUUCUCAUAAUUAAAAUUAUAUAUUGUGUAAGAAUGAUAAAGGAAGGAGAAACUUAGGUAAGGCAAAAGAGUCAUUCAUGAGAGGUUAUUGCCACUUUUAAAAUACGAACCACAAUUUUUAUAAUUAAAAUUGUUAUAUCUCAUGAUCCGUCCAGCUGAGAUGCCAAUUAAUGAAGCUGGCUGGAGGCCAAGACAUAUAUGAAGGCGGCACAUGACAAAGCAAGGCCCAUGCUAAAGCAAAGCAUGGCCGAAUGGGCUAGGCCCAAGCCAAGGCAAAGCACAGCCAAGUGGGUUAAGUCAUGAAGACACGGUCGAAUGAUCUAGAAAGUAUGCGAGGAGUGUGUGCCCAUGGGAGCGUGCGAAUGAGGACCAUGCGAAUGGUCAUGGGAAGAAGACUAAUGCUUGAAUGACUUAUGCCCUAGAGACCAAUGGGUGGAUGACCUGUAUGGGCACGUGUUGGUUUUCUCUUCCUCUGUAAACAAGGGGCCGGACUGCCUCUUAUUUCAGAUACAAUCACUUGAAUUCGUUCUUUGCACUCAAGUAUUUUUCAAAUGAUUUUGAAAAUUUUACUUAAUGUAUUGGAGGGUCCGCAUAAAAACUCACACCUAUACCUCUAGUCAGUCUAUUUCUCAACAGAUCAUUCCUCACCAACAAAUU